UGCGGUCACCAGAAAGAAGGUGGAGGAUGGUGGGAAAUGGGCUGGAGGAGAGGAGCGCCCCCUGGAGGCUCAGAAGCAGCAGCGAGGUGCAGUGGGCAGUACACUCCACACCGAAGGAGGCCUGGCUUCUUGCUCAGCUUCUGCGCUAACGUGCUGUGUGCCCUGGGCCAAGUCAGUUGCCCUCUCUGUGACUCCCUUUGCUCGUCUGUGUAUUGAGAGGGUGACUCCAGAAGAGUGUCUCCACGGGAGGCCUGUGUCUGGGGGUGAGCCCAGGUAUCUGCCUUUUAAUCAUGAUCCCCCAGGAUUCUUUGGACUAGAGUUGCUCCAGUCCUGGUUCAAAUUCCAAUAAAGCCUUCCCUUUAAAAGGCAGCACAACCCUUCAACUUUAUCCUGAUUUGGGAGGUCCCAGGAUCUGAGCACCCUGUCGGACUUGGCGGCAGGGAGAUCCUGGCAGCACGCCAGGCUGGGCAAAGGCUCCAGGGCCUGGGGAGCUGAGGGAAGAGUAAGGCUGCUCUGACCGCGGGGCAGGUGCAGGGGCGGCUCUGGGGAAAGGCAGCUGAGCCAGAGCAUCUCUAGUGUGGCAUCGGCGUGGUCUGGAAGCUUGUUAGAAAUACGUCCUUCUGCCGCCCCCAUCCCCUUCCCCCUCCUACUGAAGAGGAAUCUCUCUGGUGGCCGGGUCCAGGAAUCUGCAUUUUUGCAUACUCCCCAGGUCACUGCAGAGUCUCAUGGAUCCUCUUUCUCUUGGGACCAGUUUUGCACCAUCUUGGAGCAGAGGGUAGGAUAAUGAGCAGAAAUUCUGGACAGGAAGGAUCAACAGAACUGCACAUCUGGCUGGAUAAAAAAGAUGAGGAACAGGGGCCAAAAAAAGAAAAGAAAAAAGCCUCCAGCAUCUUGAACCAAAGGAUUGGGAAGAGUCUGGGGCACUAACGGAAAAACAGAGAAGCUGCGGGUAUAAUCUGGAGGAGGGGGGAGCUGGCUAAUUCCAGUCAGGACCAUUUUGGAGGAGGGCGAGGGUGCAGGAAUUGACAUGGACAGGGGAUGUUCAGUCAGUAUUUGUUAAUUUGUAUGUUUCUAGGAAUUUAUCACUGUCUUCCAGAUUGCCCAAUUUGUUGGCAUAUAAUUAUUUAUAAUCUUCUCUUAUAAUUGUCUUUCAAUCAGCAUCUGUUGAAGGAAUGAAGGUGUUAUUGCCUGAAAGCAUGUUAAUACACUCUGGAGAAGACAGUUUCAACUUAUUCGGGUGCUCUCCUGCCCUGUGAGGGAGUUUUUGUGCGCUGUGGUCAUUACGGGGAGGGGCAAUCACUCUUGCUCUCAAGGAGCUUCCAGUCUCAUUGGAGAGAGAUGACAUACACUUGGAGGGGAAAACCCAUAGGACAAAGCCAGCGGCUUUUUAUUUAUGUCCCCACCCCCGCCCCACAGAGAUUGAACCAUCUGGACAGAAAUAUUGUAAAAUGGGGGAAGAGCAGGCAUCACCCAUAACCUCAGGAGACUAACACAACACUUCUCAUUCCUUUGAUGUUUAUCCCAGGAACCUUCUUCCCUCCCCAUGGAACAUAAGUUUAUGGAAGAAUCUCAACCAAAAACUUGACGUAGCUUGAUUCCCCCGCCCCCUCCCACCCCAGCUCUUGACCAUGUAGGUUGACUCUCUCUUUCCUGCUGGGUUCCUGGCAUUUUCCAAUCAUUUUCGGUUACCCAAACCCAAUACAGUUUAGCCCUAGUCAUCAAUGUUGGUGACACCGCAGAAAGAAACAGAAACGGACAUAUUUACUUCCUGAUGGAAGAACACAUCACCACUAAUGGAAUCCUCCUGAAGAAAAAGUCGCCCAAUCUGAUUUGAUUGAGUCUCUGUACUUGGGUUCCCGUGUGUAGGACUGUAGGGCAUGAAUGAUCAUGUUGAACAACAGCAGCAAAAUUCAGACUGUCGGGAGACUUUACAAGACCAAUAACCCUGGUUCUUUUUUUUUCUUUAAAUAUAGACUGCUUCACAAA